UUUAAUUAUCAUAUAUAAAAGUGAAAAUAUAAAAUAUAAAUUAAUUUUAGUUGGGGCAACUGGGAGGGAUAAAAAUCUUUUAUAUAAUCAUUCAUAGUAAUAUUUAUAUUUAUGAUCCAAAUUAGUUAAUUUUGAACUUAGAAU
rnacentral:rRNA from 1 species